CCUACGGGGGGCUGCAGUGAGGAAUAUUGGUCAAUGGACGAGAGUCUGAACCAGCCAAGUAGCGUGAAGGAUGACUGCCCUAUGGGUUGUAAACUUCUUUUAUAAAGGAAUAAAACGAGGCACGUGUGCCUUUUUGCAUGUACUUUAUGAAUAAGGAUCGGCUAACUCCGUGCCAGCAGCCGCGGUAAUACGGAGGAUCCGAGCGUUAUCCGGAUUUAGUGGGUUUAAAGGGGGCGUAGAUGGGUUGUUAAGUCAGUUGUGAAAGUUUGCGGCUCAACCGUAAAAUUGCAAUUGAUACUGGCAGUCUUGAGUACAGUUGAGGUAGGCGGAAUUCGUGGUGUAGCGGUGAAAUGCUUAGAUAUCACGAAGAACCCCGAUUGCGAAGGCAGCUUACUAAACUGUGACUGACAUUGAUGCUCGAAAGUGUGGGUAUCAAACAGGAUUAGAUACCCGGGUAGUC
rnacentral:rRNA from 1 species